GGGGCAAGAUCUAAAGAGGCGCUUUCAGACCUGUGUAGGAUUGGCAGCGGCGACAUCCCUCGCUCAAAGACCGAGUUGAAGUGGAUCUGAGACUUGUCUCCCACUUCUUAGCUGCGCAUCCUGCAAAUAAACUCUGACUUUGCUGCAGAUACCUGCAGUCAAGGGGUUGUUCAGGGAAUCCACACCCUUGUGGAAGGAGUCGGAUGGACAGGAAUUGAGUCCCUGACUUUGCCAGGUACAAGCCAUGUGACUCUAGGCAAGUUAUUUCGUCUCUCUGCUCAAUCUUCACAUCCCUAAAAUGGAGAUAACACUGGAGUUAUAGCACAGUGAUCUUCUGGAGCCAGUAAGAAGAUGUAUGUGAAGUGUGGAUGCCAGUCUGGCAUGAGGUGACUCAGCAAGAGUCAUCUGGUCCUGCUCCUAGCAGUGUUCAUCGGCAACGUCGAAAUGAUCAAACUCAGUGACUUUUCUCAGCUCUUCCCUCCUCGCCUCCCUGCAGCGUCUGGUUUCUCUGCUGCCCAAGUUUCCGCUGAAGCUCUCCAGACCCGCACCUUUUAUGAGCCCUUUCUGCCCUCUCUGCCGGCUGACUUCUCCUCUCUCACACCCAGCAUCCAUCUUCAGAUGUUGCUCUAGUGUCCGUUCUCAGACCUUGCCAGUUCUCACCGUGCCCUCCCCUCUC
ensembl:lncRNA